AGAUGACCUUGGGUUAGCCUUAGUUGGCAAUUGGAUCCCGACUUCUUCCUCCUAUGAAGUGGGCAGAGGGGGCCAGCCCACAGUGUCUCGGAAAGAAGAGCGGCUCCGUGGCCUACACCAGUCACUUUGCUCUCCACCUCCUCACCUCUCAGCCUUUCCCAGUCGAGAGUCUCUCAAAUUUUAGGGCUUGCUCGCCAUCCUGGAACUGUGUAAACUGCGCAAGCUGCAGAGUUCUUCCUGAGAAGAGUUCCGUCCUGCAUGAUUGGAAUCAGAUUUCGGCAGCGUCCUUUGGUCGACAACCGGGUGAUUCCUUGUAUCAGGUUGAUUUCACAGUUUCUUUGCUCGUGGGUUUGUUGUCUGCCAUGUCCUAUUUUGUCAAAUCCUCAAAUGUCCCCCUGCCUCACUCUCUCAAGUGCUGGGAUCACGGCCUUGAUUCCCCUAGCCCACAUAGUAUUCUGCAGCUGAGACUUAAGACUAGCUGUGGUUGGGGCUGGAGCGAUGAUUCAACGGUUAAGAGCACUGACUGCUCUUCCAGAGGUCCCGAGUUCAAUUCUCAGCAACCACAUGGUGGCUCACAACCAUCUGUAAUGGGAUCUGAUGCCCUCUUCUGGUGUGUCUGAAGACAGCUACAGUGUAAUCACAUACAUAAAAUAAACAAAUAAAUCUUUAAAAAAAAAAAAAA
rnacentral:lncRNA from 1 species